rnacentral:rRNA from 1 species
UUGGAGGGCAAGUCUGGUGCCAGCAGCCGCGGUAAUUCCAGCUCCAAUAGCGUAUAUUAAAGUUGUUGCAGUUAAAAAGCUCGUAGUUGAAUUUCGGGAUCAAUUUGCUGGUCGUGCCUUUGGUACGUACUGGUAUUAUUGGUUUCUCCUUUCUGAAGAACUACGAUGUCAUUAAUUUGGUGUCGUGGGGAAUCAGGACUGUUACUUUGAAAAAAUUAGAGUGUUUAAAGCAGGCUUACGCUUGAAUACAUUAGCAUGGAUAAUGAAAUAGGACGUUUGAUUCUAUUUUGUUGGUUUCUAGGAUUGACGUAAUGAUUAAUAGGGAUAGUUGGGGGCAUUAGUAUUCAAUUGUCAGAGGUGAAAUUCUUGGAUUUAUUGAAGACUAACUACUGCGAAAGCAUUUGCCAAGGAUGUUUUCAUUAAUCAAGAACGAAAGUUAGGGGAUCGAAGACGAUCAGAUACCGUCGUAGUCUUAACCAUAAACUAUGCCGACUAGGGAUCGGAUGAUGUUAAUUUUUAAUGACUCAUUCGGCGCUUAC